CCAAUCCAGGACGACGAGUUGAUCUCGUACAUCCUCCAUGGCCUCGACGUCGACUACCAGCCGCUUGUCUCUGCACUCGACGCCCGCGUCACACUCGUCACCCUCGACGAGCUCUUUGCCAUGUUGAGUAACUUUGAUC
rfam:Triticum aestivum genome assembly, contig: Triticum_aestivum_CS42_TGACv1_scaffold_642311_T_7BL-0.157713_3B-0.147703